GAUGUCGGCUCAUCUCAUCCUGGGGCUGUAGUCGGUCCCAAGGGUAUGGCUGUUCGCCAUUUAAAGAGGUACGUGAGCUGGGUUCAAAACGUCGUGAGACAGUUUGGUCCCUAUCUUCCGUGGGCGCUGCAGAUUUGAGAAAGCCUGCUCCUAGUACGAGAGGACCGGAGUGGACGCACCCCUGGUGUACCUGUUGUCACGCCCGUGGCAUCGCAGGGUAGCUAAGUGCGGAAGAGAUAACCGCUGAAAGCAUCUAAGCGGGAAACUCGUUUCAAGAUGAGAUCUGCCGGGGCCUUGAGCCCCCUCAAGAGUCGUUCUAGACCAGGACGUUGAUAGGCUGGGUGUGCAAGGGCAGCAAUGCUCUGAGCUAACCAGUACUAAUUGCUCGUGCGGCUUGACCCU
rnacentral:rRNA from 1 species